rnacentral:rRNA from 1 species
AUGGCGGAGGAGUGCUGCAGCGCGGACCUGCUGGAGUGGAUCGGCCCUGACGUCUCAGCAUGCGUCUUCAGCCGCCUUGACCACCCCGCCGACCUUGUCCGCGCCGCCGCUGUCUCCAGAACCUGGCGCAGAUGCGUGGUCGAGAGCGGCUUGAGCAAGAGCCUUUGCCUGCGCCUGUGCCCCGAGGUCGCCACCGUCGCCGCGGCCGCAGAGGUGUCCAGAUCGCCGCCUUCAACCGCCGCCCCUGAAUCAGGCUACGAGAGGGACUACAGGAUAUACUCCAACCUCGCCGGCGCCUACGUCUCCGACUCCGCCGAGCCCUCCGCGGAAUGCAUCUUGGACUGUAUCGGCGCCUCCAGCACCGACGACUUCCCAGCAGAGACCAUGGAGAACACCCUCGACGAGGAGGAGAUUAUCAAUUUCCGCCCGUCCUAUUGGUCGAGCGGCGGGGCGGACGACCCCGAGGCGCCCGAGAGCCUUACCUACAGGCUCAACUCUGACAUCUGCAUUGUCGAUGAGAUUCGGGUGCGACCGUACCAAGCCUUUUUUCAGGAUGGUGACCCUAUAUACUCUUCAAAGAUGGUGCGAUUUCAGAUGGGCCAUUACAAGCUUCCGCGAGGAUCAGAGACGUUUGUAAUGGAUGAUUAUGAGAAUAAGAUGGUAAAUGCUGAUGAAAAAUACACGUGGACUUACACUUCGCCAGCGUUCCCUAUGUUACAGAAAAACGAACUACAAUCCUUCAAGCUCCCACGCCCUGUCCUUUGCAUUGGUGGUGUGGUGAUGAUUGAACUCUUGGGCAGAGUACAGAAACAAGAAGCAGAUGAUAUGUACUACAUAUGCGUUUGCCAUGCUGAAGUGAUGGGGCGUUCACUCUCACCACUUUUCAUGGUUGAAAUCUCGGAUCCUGAAGGUUAUUCAAUCCUCAAGUACUUACCGGGUGCCAAGGACCUAUCCAUCGAUGACUUUUUGCAAGAUGAUACCAAAGACUCGCCGGAGUGGCACUAUCUUGUUGAUAGAUACAGGCAGAUGAAUCACAGAGCAGUAGUAGUGAGUGCACUUCUGGAGCCUGUACAUUACAUGCAUGAUAUAGGUGGCAUCUCAGACGAUGAUCAUGAAGAUGAUGUAGGUGGCAUCUCAGACGAUGAUCAUGAAGAUGAUUUUAGUGAACACCUCGGAACUCUGCAAGCUUUUGUUGCAAGCAUUUCUGAAGCCUCGGUUCUGGAACCUAGAGGACCUGAUCGAGACAAGUUGCUCUUAUGGUUUGCAACUCUGCUCAAGCUUGCUCGUGUUUUCUCUUGUGUUUUUCGUUUAGUGGUGAAUAUUUGUCAUAUAUUACUUUUCAAAUAA